rnacentral:rRNA from 1 species
CCCUUAGAUGUUCUGGGCGGCCCGCGCACUACGUUGGCACUGGCAACAAGAUCCUAGAUCUGGUAUUUCGGGGUAUUCUACCAACUGGUGUCGUGACUGGGAUUAACCCCUGCAAUUAUUGGUUAUGAACGAGGAAUUCCUUGUAAUCACGGUUUAUCAACCCGUGUUGAAUGCGUCCCUGCCCUUUGUACACACCGCCCGUCGCUCCUACCGAUGAAUCGUCCGGUGAAGUUCAUGGAGUCGCGGCUGCUCCAGCUGUUUUCGAAGUGAAAUGGACCUCAUGAUUUAGAGGAAGGAGAAGUCGUAACA